rnacentral:rRNA from 1 species
AUGAACGCUGGCGGCGUGCCUAAUACAUGCAAGUCGAGCGAACAGACGAGAGUGCUUGCACUCUCUGACGUUCGCGGCGGACGGGUGAGUAACACGUGGGUAACCUACCUAUAAGACUGGGAUAACUUCGGGAAACCGGAGCUAAUACCGGAUAAUAUUUAGCUUCGCAUGAAGCAAUAGUGAAAGACGGUUCUGCUGUCACUUAUAGAUGGACCCGCGGUGUAUUAGCUAGUUGGUGAGGUAACGGCUCACCAAGGCAACGAUACAUAGCCGACCUGAGAGGGUGAUCGGCCACACUGGGACUGAGACACGGCCCAGACUCCUACGGGAGGCAGCAGUAGGGAAUCUUCCGCAAUGGACGGAAGUCUGACGGAGCAAUGCCGCGUGAGUGAAGAAGGUUUUCGGAUCGUAAAACUCUGUUGUAAGGGAAGAACAAGUACGUUAGUAACUGAACGUACCUUGACGGUACCUUACCAGAAAGCCACGGCUAACUACGUG